UACGAAGGGGGCUAGCGUUGCUCGGAAUUACUGGGCGUAAAGGGCGCGUAGGCGGGUCGUUAAGUUAGAGGUGAAAGCCCAGGGCUCAACCCUGGAAUUGCCUUUAAUACUGUCGACCUUGAGUAUGGCAGAGGUGUGUGGAACUCCGAGUGUAGAGGUGAAAUUCGUAGAUAUCGGGAGGAACACCAGUGGCGAAGGCGGAGACCUGGGCCGAUACUGACGCUGAGGUGCGAAAGCGUGGGGAGCAAACAGG
rnacentral:rRNA from 1 species